rnacentral:rRNA from 1 species
UUCUGGUUGAUCCUGCCGGAGGCUACCGCUAUUGGAGUUCGAUUAAGCCAUGCGAGUCGAGAGUCUUAGGGACUCGGCGUACCGCUCAGUAACACGUGGGUAACCUGCCCUAUGCUGGGGAAUAACCUCGGGAAACUGAGAAUAAUACCCCAUAGUUCACCACGCCUGGAACGGUGGGUGGAUGAAAGCUCCGGCGGCAUAGGAUGGGCCUGCGACGUAUCAGGUUGUAGGGGGUGUAACGUACCCUCUAGCCAUCAACGCGUACGGGUGUUGGGAGACAUAGCCCGGAGAUGGAUUCUGAGACACGAAUCCAGACCCUACGGGGUGCAGCAGGCGCGAAAACUUGGCAAUGCGAGCAAUCGUGACCAGGGAACUCCAAGUGGCUGGGGUAAUACCCAGUUUUUUCUUGACUCUUCAAAGGUCUUGGAAUAAGGGGUGGGUAAGGACGGUGCCAGCCGCCGCGGUAAUACCGGCGCCUCAAGUGGUAGUCGCUUUUAUUGGGCCUAAAACGUCCGUAGCCGGUCUGGUGCAUUCGUGGGUAAAUCAACCCGCUCAACGGGUUGAAUUCUGUGAGCACGGCCAGACUUGGGACCGGGAGAGGUGUGGGGUACUCUCAGGGUAGGGGUAAAAUCCUGUCAUCCUGAGAGGACCACCUGUUGCGAAGGCGCCACACUAGAACGGAUUCGACGGUCAGGGACGAAACCUAGGGGCACGAACCGGAUUAGAUACCCGGGUAGUCCUAGGUGUAAACGCUGUGGACUUGAU